UUGUGAAACAGGGCAACAGGAAAAUAGGAAGUUUAUCUACAUUUAACUUUUUGUAGAGAUUGUUUUGCUGAAAGUCCUAAAAUCAGCCAUGGUGAAGAUUUCUAGAGAAGAUGAGAAAUCUCCUCCAGUCUCCAGGGUUCUUCAGGAGGAAAGCAGGAAGGUGGGAGGCUGUGUGAAGUCAGCUCCUUCCUGUCCUCCUCGCAGUAAAAGUGAAAGGAAAAUUGCAAACUAAUUGAGUGGCCCAGAAGGCUCUCAGAAGCUGGCUGGGUCCUGAGUUACUCCUGUCUGCUGUGUCUCCCGACUCUGCCCUUUAGCUGUUCACAUGCUCAGAGCUCUGUCCUGCUUUAGGCCUCCCCCAUGGUCUUCCUUCUUCCCUCUGCUUAAAACACUCCUUCUUGGCAAGGACCCUCCCCACACCUGCUUGUCCUUAGCUCUAAUGUUGGCAUCUUUGCAGAAGUUUUACUAAAGCUCUCACCUAAUCCAAAA